rnacentral:rRNA from 1 species
CCAAGCUAUUUAGGUGACACUAUAGAAUACUCAAGCUAUGCAUCCAACGCGUUGGGAGCUCUCCCAUAUGGUCGACCUGCAGGCGGCCGCGAAUUCACUAGUGAUUAGAGUUUGAUCCUGGCUCAGAGUGAACGCUGGCGGCGUGCUUAACACAUGCAAGUCGAGCGAAUUUUGGCAGCGUAUCGCCAGAGUUAGCGGCAGACGGGUGAGUAAUACUUGGGCGAUCUGCCCUCGAGAGGGAGACAACCUGCCGAAAGGCGGGCUAAUACCCCAUAAGACCACAGGAUGGCAUCAUCCAGGGGUCAAAGCUCCGCAAGGGGCGCUUGAGGAGGAGCCCGAGUCCUAUCAUGGUAGUUGGUGAGGUAACGGCCCACCAAGCCUUUGACGGGUAGCCGGCCUGAAAGGGUGAUCGGCCACACUGGCACUGAGACACGGGCCAGACUCCUACGGGAGGCAGCAGUGGGGAAUUUUGGACAAUGGGGGAAACCCUGAUCCAGCGACGCCGCGUGAAG